UACGUAGGGUGCAAGCGUUUGUCCGGAAUUUUAUUUGGGCGUAAAGAGCUCGUAGGCGGUUUUGUCGCGUUCUGCUGUGAAAACUCGGGGCUUAACUCCGGGCCUGCAGUGGGUACGGGCAGACUAGAGUGCGGUAGGGGGAGACUGGAAUUCCUGGUGUAGCGGUGAAAUGCGCAGAUAUCAGGAGGAACACCGGUGGCGAAGGCGGGGUCUCUGGGCCGUAACUGACGCUGAGGAGCGAAAAGCGUGGGGGAGCGAACAGGG
rnacentral:rRNA from 1 species